GUGACACUCGAAUCUCUGUCUCCACGUGAGACCCAACCUUCUUAUCGUACCACAAUACGAAAAGCUCACACAUUUGACAAAAUUACAAGGAAAUAACAAGACUUAUGCUCACACAACCGCUUCACAAAACCAUACAUAUCGCAUAAUAGUGAGCAAUAAUAACCUAUCAAACAUAGGCCAAUCAAAAUGACAAUUAAUCAAAACAAAUGCUUAAAUCAGUUUUUACUAAAGGACUCCCCUGAAAUUACUAAGUAUACAGCCUUAUCCACUAAUUCAGCAUUUCUAGAUCACCCUUGUUUUUACUAGGUACACAUCUACAAAUAACCAAACACUAUUCACGCACCCCCUCUAUUUUUUUCUAAAUUCACUCCCUUUUCUACUAACCUUGACUGUGGGCCCACCAAUCCAUAAUUAAAUAAAAAAACACAUUCCUUCUCUCUCACUCGAGUGGGCUUAUACAAGUCCACUCCCACUCAUUUUCUCUUUUCUCUCUCACGUAUACGUAGACCCCUUAUCUCCUCUCUCUUCUUUUUAUUUUUCUUUUUCGAUAACACCUAGUUCUCUCUCUUUUCUAUUCUUUCUCUCAUUUAAUGUGUGACAUGUAAGACC
rnacentral:lncRNA from 1 species